rnacentral:rRNA from 1 species
UACGGGGGGGGCAAGCGUUGUUCGGAAUUACUGGGCGUAAAGGGCUCGUAGGUGGCCAACUAAGUCAGACGUGAAAUCCCUCGGCUUAACCGGGGAACUGCGUCUGAUACUGGAUGGCUUGAGUUCGGGAGAGGGAUGCGGAAUUCCAGGUGUAGCGGUGAAAUGCGUAGAUAUCAGGAGGAACACCGGUGGCGAAGGCGGCCCUCUGGACGGUGACUGACGCUGAGACGCGAAAGCGUGGGGAGCAAACAGG